UGGAACAAAACAUUAUCUUUACAGAGUUUUCCCAUUGAACUGGGCCGAUGAAGAAUACCGCAAUAAAACAAUCAGGAAUGAGAUUCGAAAUUUCCAGUGUACAUACAGAUCCGUGUGAUAAAUUUGAAAUUUGCAAUUUUAUAUAAAAAAUAAUGACGCCUUUCCCUCUCAGAACUAGGAAAAAAA